CAAUAGCGUAUAUUAAAGUUGUUGCAGUUAAAAAGCUCGUAGUUGGAUUUGUGGUGUACUUCGGCGGCCCGUCACUAUGUGAUGGAGCUUGCUGAAGUCGCCAUCCUUGGGUGGAUCCUGUGUGGCAUUAAGUUGUCGUGCAGGGGAUGCCCAUCGUUUACUGUGAAAAAAUUAGAGUGUUCAAAGCAGGCUUAUGCCGUUGAAUAUAUUAGCAUGGAAUAAUAAGAUAGGACCUUGGUACUAUUUUGUUGGUUUGCGCACCAAGGUAAUGAUUAAUAGGGACAGUUGGGGGUAUUCGUAUUCCAUUGUCAGAGGUGAAAUUCUAGGAUUUCUGGAAGACGAACUACUGCGAAANCANNNACCAAGGAUGUUUUCAUNAA
rnacentral:rRNA from 1 species